CCUUAGAAAGCUUACACGGAAGCACUAGACUUUUGAUCUAGCCAAGACAAACACCCAACUGUCUCUAGGGU
rnacentral:tRNA from 1 species